AAGCCUCACAGCAGAAGCUGGGGCUGCUGCUCAUCUCUGGAGGGAAGAAGUAGGGGACAGGGAAGAGAUAGAGUGGUGGGCACAGUGGCAAAGCCAGCAGGCCGGCCAGUCUGGAUGGAGGAGGCUACAAGCCAAAAACUUGGAAUCUGGAAGGCUCCUCCUAUGUGACCUGAGUGUCACCAUGUCUGUUCUUGGGCCCAUUUUGGUUUGUUUGAGGCUCCAGCCUAGAUGCCUGCUGUUUGUCUGUCUCACAAGUCUCACUGGGAAGCAUCUGCUUGAGGAUUCAGGCAACACAGAAAAAAAUAGAGAUGGAGGGAGACAACUUUGAAUGAUGUUGCAUGAACACCUGGCUCUAACUGUGCCUGAAGUAGGACAGAGCCCUGAGCUUCCCAAUGAUAAGAGGUCAUAAACUCCUUCUCAGCUUAAA